UACGUAGGGGGGCAAGCGUUGUCCGGAUUUAUUGGGCGUAAAGAGCGUGUAGGCGGCCAAGCAGGUCAGCUGUGAAAACUCGAGGCUCAACCUCGAGACGUCGGUUGAAACCGCUUGGCUAGAGUCCGGAAGAGGAGAGUGGAAUUCCCGGUGUAGCGGUGAAAUGCGCAGAUAUCGGGAAGAACACCCGUGGCGAAGGCGGCUCACUGGCCCGGUACUGACGCUGAGGUGCGAAAGCGUGGGGGAGCAAACAGG
rnacentral:rRNA from 1 species